ensembl:snRNA Gm24480 predicted gene, 24480
GUACUUGACUCAGCCAUACGGAUACUAAAUUGGAGUGAUACAGAGAUUAACACAGUCCCUGUGCAGGGAUGACUUGCAAAUUCAUAAAAUAUUCUGUAUUUUA